rnacentral:rRNA from 1 species
GACGAACGCUGGCGGCGUGCCUAAUACAUGCAAGUCGAACGGUCUUUUCUAUGGAAGCUUGCUUCCACUGAGAAGAUAGUGGCGAACGGGUGAGUAACACGUGGGUAACCUGCCCAUAAGAGGGGGAUAACAUCCGGAAACGGGUGCUAAUACCGCAUAGUUUUCUUGAUCGCAUGAUUGAGAAAGGAAAGACGGCCUUUGUGCUGUCGCUUAUGGUUGGACCGGCGGCGUAUUAGUUAGUUGGUGAGGUAACGGCUCACCAAGACGAUGAUACGUAGCCGACCUGAGAGGGUGAUCGGCCACAUUGGGACUGAGACACGGCCCAAACUCCUACGGGAGGCAGCAGUAGGGAAUCUUCCGCAAUGGACGAAAGUCUGACGGAGCAACGCCGCGUGAGUGAAGAAGGUUUUCGGAUCGUAAAACUCUGUUGUCAGAGAAGAACAAGUUGGAGAGUAACUGCUCCAGCCUUGACGGUAUCUGACCAGAAAGCCACGGCUAACUACGUGCCAGCCGCCGCGGUAAGAC